AUUUGAACUGCACCAAAGUAUCAACAGCAAUCAGUCUGUUUCUGAAGAAGUAGAGUUUCAGGAUCAGCAAUGAAAAGUCUCAGAGGGAAUGGUGUCCAGGGUCCUAAAAGUGAAGAAGGCUAUAAGAGACAGAGCCAGUCAUCAAGGCAGGUAAAAUGUCCCGCACAGAAAAAACUCUCUUUUGAGAAAACAGCAAUGAAGCUAGUAUCAGUGACGUUGAAGGAUAUUUUCAAUGGGGAGGGACACCCUGAGUCCACUGACUUUAGACCAAGGUCCAACCUUGGUGUACAACAGAAAAUUCCAAAGGGAGAUAAAUACCCUAUAUCCAGGGAACACUCCAAAGAUAGCCCAGAAUUCAUUCAACAGCCAAAACUCCUCCCACAAAAGAAACCCUGUAAAGGCAACCCAUGUGGGAGGGCUUCUGGACACCAGUCAGGCCUUAUUGUUCACGGGAGCAUUCAUGGCAGAGAAAAGCCUUUUGGAUGCCGCGAGUGUGGCAGGACUUUCAGUCGAAGCACACACCUUAUUGAACAUCAAAGGACUCACACUGGAGAGAGACCUUAUGAGUGCAGCGAAUGUGGAAGGGCCUUCAGCCAGAGCACUAACCUCAACCAACAUCAGCGAACUCAUACUCAAGUGAAGCCUUAUGAGUGUCGUGCAUGUGGGAAAGCCUUCAGUGACCGGUCAACCAUAAUCCAGCACCAGCGCAUACACACUGGAGAGAAUCCCUACAAGUGCAGUCGGGGUGGGAAAUCCUUCAGCUGGGUCUCCUCUCUCUCCGAACACCAGAGAACACGCACAGGGGAGAAUCCCUAUGAAUGCAGCGACUGUGGGAAGGUGUUCAGCAGAGCUCGACUCUUGUCAGACACCAGAGCUUCACACCGAGGAGCACUGCUGAGUCUGUACCAGGCUCCACAAGAGCACCUGCAUGUCCUCCUCCCAGAACGCCUUGGUUCACACACCUGGACCACUAGCCACCCCAGUUUCAAGCUUUCCUCCACCCCUUUCUCUUCUUCCUUCCUUCUCCUCCUUCCUCUCUCUCACUCUCCCCGAAAUGCUCAAAUGAGUGAUCAGUAAAACAAAGGGAUGGCCUUCAGAGGCUAACAUGCUCAAUCUCGUAUUCUGAAAGGCUCCAGCCUUCGCACACACAGCUGCCUGGCACUCUGUGGCUUGUCACCUUGAUUUUCCAUAAGGCUUGAGUCUCCACUCAGUGAAUCAUGUUUCCCAACCACUUCUGACCAGUUUGGGAUAGUGGCAUUGAGGCAAAUCUCCUGACUUAGAAAACCAGAUUUUUCUUGCCUCCCACCCUUGCCUUUUCACCAUAGUAUUUUCCCUCAAAGAAUAAUCCAUAGUUUUACUAAUGUGCCUAAAUAAUCCUAAUUUCCUUUUAUUAAAUAUUUACCCAGAACUUCCUAAAAAAUCAUAGAGACAUUUAGUUCCUUCAAUAUUGGGGGGGGGGGCAUGCUUUCAGUUGCUGUCCUGUUUUUAAGAACUUUUCUUUUGUUUCCAGACUUCAUGAAACUCAGGGCCUCUGGCUUUAACUUUUACCAGUCUGAUCUCAAGGAUAAACCCAGGACCUGUUUCUCAGUCCUCUUCCUAUUUGACAUUUGCAGAACUGACACUUUCGGCCACUCUUCUUAAAACUUGGGCAUAUUUUAGGACCCAAGAUUCUGUGGUGAUCCACUCUGCCUUUCUCCUGGUAUUUCUCUGAGCAGCAGUGAUCAUCUCUAUGAUUUGGGGUAAGGGUGAGGCCAGAAUAACUCAUUUUAUUGGAUUAUAUACUUGAAGUAAUUGAAUAAGAUAAGUUCCUUAAAGAUAGAGAAUUUGUUUUCAAUUCAUAUAAAACAUCAAAAAGAACUAAGUAGACACUGAAUGCCUAUAACUGUUGCUUAGUAAGGCUCCACUAUUCCCUAUGAUCAGUCGGCCCGACUUUUGGUGAAAGGGCUUAGUAACUGAUUCCAGUGUCUUGGGCCUAUAUUAUUAAGUAAAUGCAACAUGCUGUCCUUUCUUCCGGACUUGACUUAGCUGACUUAUUAAACUACCACUUUGUUAAAAAUUAGUCCAUAGCUUUGCAGUGUUCCCAAGAAAAAUUUCAGACACCUUUACAAGGCCUUUCAUAAUUGGGCCUGUUUAUUUACUUAUUUCCCAUCAGCUCCCCAAGGCAGUACAUGUGGGCAGACCCAUCCUCUGUCCCCACGACACCUUCUUUUCAUGGUAGUCCAUGGCACCUUUUACAUGUCCCACUUUCUUCUCUGUAUCUCCAGAGAUUCUACACAAGACCCCGCUCACAUCCUGUCUCCUUUGUGACACUUUUUCUCCCCACCACCUUAGAAAUCCUUUGCCAUGAGGAUUUGCAUUACUCUCCCACAUUGCUUUAUUCUGGUUUCUGGUUCUUUCAGGUCUCCUUUUCUUUUCUCUGUUUGUUUCUGUUUUGUUUAUGAAGCAGUAUCUCUCUGUGGCCCAGGCUGGCCACGAACCCCUGGCUCAAGAGAUUUUCCCACGGCAGUCUCAUGAGUAUUGGGACCACAGGCACACCAUGGUAGGGGCUCAGGUGCCUUUUCCCAUAAGCUGUUUGAAAUUAG
rnacentral:lncRNA from 1 species